rnacentral:sRNA from 1 species
AUUCUAACCAUGCUGGCAGCUGAUUAGAUGGUGCCCACCCAGAUUAAAGGUAUUGGGAGAAGGAGAGGCUGUCAACCCAUGCCACUAUGCUAUCUCUAACUCUGCCAUCGAGACCGAGCAAACGCACUUAAGACCUUUGUGUAAGAUCAGAAACUCAUAAGACAGCAUUAAAAAGUACUAUACAGGAGGAGAUGGAAUAAGAUGGCCAAAUAGAAGCCUCUGGCAAUCAUCUCCCCCAAAGGAAUUGAACAACUAUCGAAACAAAAUUGAACAACUCUCUAAACAAAAAAAGUACCUUCAUAAAAAACAAAAAUCAGGACACAGUGUUCUGCCUCUCCUGAGUAAGCAGCAACAAGGCACAAUCUUGGAAUCAGAGGGCAGCCCUCACCAGACAACUAAAUCUGCAGACACCUUGAUCUUGGACUUCCCAGCCUCCAGAACUGUCUUUCUGGCAACUGUCUAAACAUAAACCAGGGAAGGGCAAGGCAGACUCAGGAAGGACAAAUAGAAGGCUAUUUCCAUAAAUCAGGCAUACAAUGGUGGACAAAACAGCUGCCUUUCUUCCCCGUAUGGAGCUUACAGUAUAGUGAAUAUUUCAUGGGACUGGUAUCUACAGAAGGUGUUUUGGGAAGCACAGCUUUGGAGAGAGUAAUUUGCCAACAUUGCACAGAAUAAAGGCACCAUGAGGGCCCAAGGAAGGAAAAGAUUUGCAGCUGUCUCA